CUUUGAGACACAUUUCUAGCGGUGUCUUGAGAAGCUCGCGGGAGGCACAGCCAAUAGCCAGAAAAACACAUGCCAGGCGUGACAUCACAGGAGCUCGGGGAGGGCUUCUGUAAAUUAGACCGACAGGAGUGUCACAGGGAUUAAAGGAAGAUGCCGUAACUGUUGGGGAACAUCCACAGUUCCUCAGAAGUAUAUAUAAGCCAGAUGAAAUGGCUCCCAUCACCACUGCACAUUCUUUUGGAGUUACAGGUAUCUGGUAUUUGGAAAGAAACUCUCAGUAAGCAAAUGUACUUGACUACUGAACAGCUGUUGCACCAAAACUAUAUUAUUACUGAACCACUAACAAUGAUAUAAUAAUUUGUUCUUAAUUGAAUGUCCUUAUUGUUCCCUAUGAAACGUUUAUGUGGCAAAAAAUGUUUAUAGAUUAAUGUCCAUGCUAAGAGAGUCUGUUGAUGAAAAUGAGAAAGUUUAAUUGGGAGUUUGGAUUUAUUUGUUCAUAACUACACAUUAGAAGGAAGGGAAGACCACCAAUCUGCGAAAUAACAAUUUGAGGAAACAUUACAAAUAGAUGGAUAUUGUUUCAGCCAGUUAAUUUAAAAUGUUUUGUUAAGCGAUUUGAAAUUACUAAAAAUCAAGCCACACUUAUUAUAUGAAUUGAUUGACAGAUUUUUUUUUUAUAUAAUGACUUAACCUGUAGAAAAUUUGGAUGAAAUUGAAACUUUAAUCAACGUCACUGAAGUUUCUAGCUAAUUAAAUGAAUCAAAUGAUUUUCCAGGUUAAAGUAAGUGUUAACAAUUAAAACAUUAAACCAUUUACUUUGUUU